GAAAGUGGCUCAAUUGAAGAUUUAGAGUUUCAGGAAAACCUUCCAGGAGCUGGAGGGUCGUGAGCAAAGACCUAGACAAAAAGGACAAGGCUAUAUAGCUUCCCUCUGACAUCAGUUCAUUUAAAACACGGGCUCUGUGAAAGCCCUCAGGAAGAAGGCCUCAGAGCCCUGAAGACCCAGGACUCAUUCUGCUGGUAUGGGGGAGAUGAGGACACAGCUUUUGUUGUCUCCGCUGAAUCCACAACAAUGGAGUCAGAGCAGAAAGUGGCCUCAGAAAGCCACCUCAGCCAAGGCCUUCAUUCUGUGUUCCUGGCAAGUGGGGCCCAGAGAGGGUCUUAUACGGCAGAAGGAAGGUUCUAGAAGAGCAGGGCCUUCUCGCGCCUGGCCUUGCCUCCCCCCAUGCUCCAUUGAUGUUUAUUAAUCAAAUUGCAUUGGAAGAGAUCUGGAUGAAUCGGGUGACUGAAGGCUAGUUGCAGCCAUACAUCUACCCCCAAAUCUGCUGUGUGUCCUUGGGUAAGUACUUUUUUUCCCCUCUCUGGGCCCCAGUUUCCCCUUCUGAAAAAUGGAGCUUCCACUGCUGCCAGGCUGGCUGGCAGGAUAGGCUGGUUGAAUUAGC
rnacentral:lncRNA from 1 species